rnacentral:tRNA from 1 species
AUCAGGGUUGAAUUUAAUAUUGUCUUCGUUUACGUUUAAGUUUGUUUUUGUGUGAUUCAAAAGGCCUUGAUU